GACGAACGCUGGCGGCGUGCUUAAUACAUGCAAGUCGAACGGAAAGGCCCUGCUUUUGUGGGGUGCUCGAGUGGCGAACGGGUGAGUAACACGUGAGUAACCUGCCCUUGACUUUGGGAUAACUUCAGGAAACUGGGGCUAAUACCGGAUAGGAGCUCCUGCUGCAUGGUGGGGGUUGGAAAGUUUCGGCGGUUGGGGAUGGACUCGCGGCUUAUCAGCUUGUUGGUGGGGUAGUGGCUUACCAAGGCUUUGACGGAUAGCCGGCCUGAGAGGGUGACCGGCGACAAUAGGACUGAGGUAAGGCGCAGACUCGUACGGGAGGCAGCAGUGGGGAAUAUUGCACAAUGGGCGGAAGCCUGAGGAAGCAACGCCGGGUGCGGGAUGAAGGCCUUCGGGUGGGAAACCGCUUUCGCCUGUGACGAAGCGUGAGUGACGGUAAUGGGAAAAGAAGCACCGGCUAACUACGUG
rnacentral:rRNA from 1 species